AGUGAACGCUGGCGGUAGGCCUAACACAUGCCAGUCGAACGGCAGCACAGUAAGAGCUUGCUCUUACGGGUGGCGAGUGGCGGACGGGUGAGGAAUACAUCGGAAUCUACUUUUUCGUGGGGGAUAACGUAGGGAAACUUACGCUAAUACCGCAUACGACCUACGGGUGAAAGCAGGGGAUCUUCGGACCUUGCGCGAUUGAAUGAGCCGAUGUCGGAUUAGCUAGUUGGCGGGGUAAAGGCCCACCAAGGCGACGAUCCGUAGCUGGUCUGAGAGGAUGAUCAGCCCCACUGGACCUGGAACACGGCCCAGCCUCCAACGGAAGGCAGCGUGGGGAAUAUUGGACAAUGGGCGCAAGCCUGAUCCAGCCAUACCGCGUGGGUGAAGAAGGCCUUCGGGUUGUAAAGCCCUUUUGUUGGGAAAGAAAAGCAGCAGGUUAAUACCCCGCUGUUCUGACGGUACCCAAAGAAUAAGCACCGGCUAACUUCGUG
rnacentral:rRNA from 1 species